ACGCUGGCGGCAGGCCUAACACAUGCAAGUCGAGCGGUAGCACAGGAGAGCUUGCUCUCUGGGUGACGAGCGGCGGACGGGUGAGUAAUGUCUGGGAAACUGCCUGAUGGAGGGGGAUAACUACUGGAAAUGGUAGCUAAUACCGCAUGACCUCGCAAGAGCAAAGUGGGGGACCUUCGGGCCUCACGCCAUCGGAUGUGCCCAGAUGGGAUUAGCUAGUAGGUGGGGUAAUGGCUCACCUAGGCGACGAUCCCUAGCUGGUCUGAGAGGAUGACCAGCCACACUGGAACUGAGACACGGUCCAGACUCCUACGGGAGGCAGCAGUGGGGAAUAUUGCACAAUGGGCGCAAGCCUGAUGCAGCCAUGCCGCGUGUGUGAAGAAGGCCUUAGGGUUGUAAAGCACUUUCAGCGAGGAGGAAGGCGCUGUAGUUAAUAGCUGCAGCGAUUGACGUUACUCGCAGAAGAAGCACCGGCUAACUCCGUGCCAGCAGCCGCGGUAAUACGGAGGGUGCAAGCGUUAAUCGGAAUUACUGGGCGUAAAGCGCACGCAGGCGGUUUGUUAAGUCAGAUGUGAAAUCCCCGAGCUUAACUUGGGAACUGCAUUUGAAACUGGCAAGCUAGAGUCUUGUAGAGGGGGGUAGAAUUCCAGGUGUAGCGGUGAAAUGCGUAGAGAUCUGGAGGAAUACCGGUGGCGAAGGCGGCCCCCUGGACAAAGACUGACGCUCAGGUGCGAAAGCGUGGGGAGCAAAC
rnacentral:rRNA from 1 species